AUUUAAAUAGUUUAAGUAAAAUAUUAGAGUGUGGAUCUAAAGAUAUAAUAUAUUAUUUUAAAUU
rnacentral:tRNA from 1 species